UGGGGAAUCUUGCACAAUGGGGGCAACCCUGAUGCAGCGACGCCGCGUGAGCGAUGAAGCCCUUCGGGGCGUAAAGCUCUUUCGACCGGAACGAUAAUGACGGUACCGGGAGAAGAAGCUGCGGCUAACUACGUGCAAGCAGCCGCGGUAAUACGUAGGCAGCAAGCGUUGUUCGGGGUUACUGGGCGUAAAGAGUGCGUAGGCGGUUUUCUAAGUUCGGUGUGAAAUCUCCCGGCUUAACUGGGAGGGUGCGCCGAAGACUGGGAAGCUGGAGUGUGGGAAAGGCAGGCGGAAUUCCUGGUGUCGCGGUGAAAUGCGUAGAUAUCAGGAGGAACACCGGCGGUGUAGACGGCUUGCUAGACCAUAACUGACGCUGAGGCACGAAAGCGUGGGUAGCAAACA
rnacentral:rRNA from 1 species